rnacentral:rRNA from 1 species
UGGGGAAUUUUACGCAAUGGGGGAAACCCUGACGUAGCGACACCGCGUGAGCGAAGAAGCCCCUUGGGGUGUAAAGCUCUGUCGGCUGGAACGAAAAAAAUGACGGUACCAGCAAAGGAAGCAUCGGCUAACUACGUGCCAGCAGCCGCGGUAAGACGUAGGAUGCAAGCGUUGUCCGGAUUUAUUGGGCGUAAAGAGUUCGUAGGUGGUUUGUCAAGUCUGAUGUUAAAGAUCGGGGCUCAACCCUGGGACUGCAUUGGAUACUGGCAGACUUGAGUAUGGUAGAGGCUAGUGGAAUUCCCAGUGUAGCGGUGAAAUGCGUAGAUAUUGGGAAGAACACCGGUGGCGUAGGCGACUAGCUGGGCCAUAACUGACGCUGAGGAACGAAAGCCAGGGGAGCGAAUG